rnacentral:rRNA from 1 species
GAUGAACGCUGGCGGCGUGCCUAAUACAUGCAAGUCGAGCGGCAGCGCGAGUAGUUUACUACUUGGCGGCGAGCGGCGGACGGCUGAGUAACACGUAGGAACGUACCCCGAAGUGAGGGAUAACUGCUCGAAAGAGUAGCUAAUACCGCAUGUGAUCUAAGGAUUAAAGCUUUAUGCGCUUUGGGAACGGCCUGCGUCCGAUUAGCUAGUUGGUGAGGUAAAAGCUUACCAAGGCGACGAUCGGUAGCUGGUCUGAGAGGAUGAUCAGCCAGACUGGGACUGAGACACGGCCCAGACUCCUACGGGAGGCAGCAGUAGGGAAUUUUCCACAAUGGGCGAAAGCCUGAUGGAGCAACGCCGCGUGCAGGAUGAAUGCCUUCGGGUUGUAAACUACUUUUAUAUGUGACGAUUGUGACGGUAGCAUAUGAAUAAGGAUCGGCCAACUCCGUGCCAGCAGCCGCGGUAA